rnacentral:rRNA from 1 species
GAUCAUGGCUCAGGAUGAACGCUGGCGGCGUGCCUAACACAUGCAAGUCGAACGGAACUUCUUUGACAGAAUUCUACGGAAGGAAGUUGAUUAAGUUUAGUGGCGGACGGGUGAGUAACGCGUGAGUAACCUGCCUUUGAGAGGGGAAUAGCUUCCCGAAAGGGAUGCUAAUACCGCAUGACGCAUAUUUAUCGCAUGGUAGAUAUGCCAAAGAUUUAUCGCUCAAAGAUGG